rnacentral:lncRNA from 1 species
AGAUAAACACGGGCUCUCGGUUACACAGAUUAUUCUCAACAUUCUCGGCUUUUUAGGAACUGUUGCUACAACGGUUCUCAUCACGAAGUAUGCGAAAAGACAGCUGGAGACCAUGAAGAAAGAGGAAGAAGCAUUGUUGCAAUAAAACCUCACGUGAGAAACUCUUGACUUGCUUUUAUCCCUUGAAACAUCUCCUUGUCUCACUCCUUACACAGUUCAGGUCUGCUCCGAGACGUGAAAGAGCAUUGGUUAUUUUGUCUCCUUGGUUCUUCAUCUCUUUAAUUAACACAGCCUUCAAAAAGAAGAAGAAACUAACACCAUUCUUGAUUCUUAGGUGUAAGUAAGUAUUGUGUACUUGUGUGGCUUUGAUGUGGUGACAUGAAUUUAAAAAAACACAAAUUGUUGUUAUUUGCAGUGGUAUUGUGAAACGAUGAAAAUGAGAGAAUCUUCGUUUGAUUUACUUCUCUUGUGUGUUUGAUGCUUAUAAAUUACUUUCUUUUAUGCCUCAAAUCAAAUCAGUUGAAGUAAACAAAUUUUCAGAGCAAACAUCACUAAUAUUUUGAAUGAAACCUAAAUUCCUUUUGAGUAUAUAGAAGAAGAGGAAAACUAAUCUAUUAAUAAUGUCACAGGGAUCAUGUGACCCCAAUUAAAUUGAACAUAGACACCCAAACAAUACUGUAUGUAGUAUGGUCGAAAGAAAAAAGACGAAGAAGAUAACACAACAUAUUAUGGAUAGUAAUAGUAAUAUAGUAUGAAGUUAUACCUUUUUCCAUUUUUAGUUAAAAAAAAUUCAUUUACUUACUACAACUGAAAAUGUUCAACCAACACGGCAACACCUAAAUAGUGUAUCUUUGUACUCUCCCAAAAGUAGGUUUGGUCCAACACCCAAAGAAAAAACUUUGAACAAAACGUAUGAUAGUAGGUUUUUCUUUUCAAAUGUUGUCCUUCCCAAAGAACAAUUUUCGUUUGAACAAUUUCACGGUGACAUGAAUUAAAACAACAAUUGUUGUUAUUUGCGGUGGUAUUGUGUGAAACGAUGAAAAUGAGAGAAUCUUCGUUUGAUUCACUUCUCUUGUGUGUUUGAUGCUUAUAAAUUACCCUCAAAUCAGAUCAGUUUUAUUUAAAGUAAGCAAGUUUUUCAGAGCAAAGAUCACUAAUGUUUUGAAUGAAACCUAAAUUCCUUUGAAUUUACUAAAUGAUAUGUAUAUAGAAGAAGAGGAUAACUCAAUCAAUUAUUACUGUCAUAGGGAUCAUGUGACCCCAGUUAAAUUGAACAUAUUCACCCAAAUAAUAAAGUUAGUAUGGUCGAAAGAAAAAAAAAGGAAGAAUAUAAAAAUACUCCGUAGAUAACACAACAAAAUAUGAUUGUGUUGUGAAAUAUAAGUGGAAAGAGAUGUAACUGUGUCAGCUAUAUAUAUAUAUGUGUAUGUAUUAUUAUUCUUUGCGUGUAUUGUUUAUCUAACAAGAGAGAUAGAGAGGAGUUGACUUGUUUAUUUGUUCGUUUGGAAAAUAGAAACGAGAGAGAAUGACUAUAUUUAUGGAUUCUUAAUUAUUAUACAAACCAUACAAAAAGCCACUAUUUAUAGUAGUCUAAAGUCGGUUUAUCAAACCGACUAUUAACUAAAAGACAAAAGAGGAGAUAAACAUUAUCCCCUCAAAUAGAUAAUCAUCAUCUAUAUUAUCUUUAACAUUCCCCCUUGAUUAUCUAUUACGUAUUACGUAGUGUCUCGUUAAAAACCUAGUCAUGGAAAAACCCAAUGGAACAAAAACCAUGACAAGAAAAAAAAGUACAAUGCCGUAAUCUCCCCCUGAUAAUAGUGGACCUAGAUUUCUCGUCACAAGUCAUGUAAAUGCCGCAUUCCGAUACCAUAGACGUAUUUUCGGAACGUUGUAGUAAGAAGGGCCUUUGUGAACAAGUCAGCUGGGAAUGUCGCAUGACCGUACAUACUCGAUGUUCACCUCUUUAUUUUUCUCGAGCUCCUUUAUGUAUGAGAAAAAUCUCGGAGGGAUAUGCUUUGUUUUGUCGUUUUUGAUGUAGCCUUCUUUGAGUUGAGCGACACAAGUCGAAUUGUCUUCAAAUAUUUUCGUCGGCUCUUUCUUGUUGACUAUUCCACUUGCUUCUUGUAUCUGUUAACUCAUUGACCUAAGCUACACACAUUCUCGACAUGCUUCGUGAAGUGCAAUAGUUUCUACAUGAUUCGAAGAUGUCGCAACCAGAGUUUGUUUCUGGGAACGCCAAGAGAUCGCAGUUCCACCAAUUGUAAAAACAUAGCCGGUUUGCGAUCGAGCCUUAUGAGGAUCUAAUAAGUAUCCAGCCUUUUGUAACAAUUGUUUUUUUGUUUUUUUUAAUCUCAGCUUCAUUACUAAAACGCUGUCAGGUUGAUUAUCAUUGUUUUAGUUUCCUCAAAUGUGGAAUUUGAUCGAUGAAGUUGCGAUUUGUUCAUGUUACUGAGAUCUGUUCCUGAUUGUACAGGGAUGGAUGGAAAGUUAUCCUGAUCAAGCAGUUGUACUAAGAGCUGCCGGUGAAGGCAAUUGGUUUCACCAGUUUCGAGCAGUGACUUUAAUCCGGAUUUCUCCGUUUCCUUACAUUCUUUAUAACUACUGUUCUGUUGCAACUCGUGUUAAGUACGGUCCUUACAUCACUGGAUCUCUCUUAGGCAUGGUCCCUGAGAUCUUUGUUGCUAUCUAUACGUAAGUCAGCUUCCCUAUCUCUGAAUAGCAUCUAGAAGCCUUUUUAAGUCCCAUUUUCACUGUUGGAUCCUGUAACUGUCCACUGCUUACCUAUGAGAUGUCUCGUUUUUCUGUGUUGCAGAGGGAAUCUUGUAAAGACAUUAGCGGAAGCAUCUUCUGCAGAUAAACACGGGCUCUCGGUUACACAGAUUAUUCUCAACAUUCUCGGCUUUUUAGGAACUGUUGCUACAACGGUUCUCAUCACGAAGUAUGCGAAAAGACAGCUGGAGACCAUGAAGAAAGAGGAAGAAGCAUUGUUGCAAUAAAACCUCACGUGAGAAACUCUUGACUUGCUUUUAUCCCUUGAAACAUCUCCUUGUCUCACUCCUUACACAGUUCAGGUCUGCUCCGAGACGUGAAAGAGCAUUGGUUAUUUUGUCUCCUUGGUUCUUCAUCUCUUUAAUUAACACAGCC